CGAGAGACCCCAGUGAAAGCUCCUCCGGUUUGUUGUCCACUUCGUGAGCUUCCCGUUCUUAGUAACUCCGUAGCAACUUUUCCGGGUCGUCUUCAAUUUGCAGCUCUAAAAAAUCGAACAUUUCGAAUAAGACACCAGCUUGCUUCGCCGCCAGCCUUUUCAGAGACAUUGAAAAGUUCAAAGAAAAAUCAGUUAAAACUGUUAAAUAAAACGGUUAAAACACUAUUUCAUUAGCUUAAAUAAUCACACACUUAACCUUCCUCGAGCGAAAUCAAAUCACGUUUGUUUUGGUCCCAAAAUUUUCUUUGUGGUGGUGUCGUGAAUGACAGGUCUUUUGUUUCGGAGCCGAAGUUGACGGCUGUGGAGCCGAAACCGACAAUUGAUGAUGGCUGCGCUGCAAUUGCCUGUGUUGAGAUACAGAUGUCGCCCCCCUG